rnacentral:lncRNA from 1 species
ACAAGCUCUGAGGACACACUUCAGGCAGAGACAAGCUAGGAGCAGGCUCUGAAAUGAAAUGUGGCUGAAGUGGCAGCAAGAGGUCAUCAGGUCCUGCCCCAGGAAACAACUGGGUCCCAAAUUGGACCAAGUCUCCAGACCUUGCAAGAGGCCGAUAAGACCAGACAUUUGAUUGGAACCAGAAGGUCUCAGGAAGAAAGAGCAGUCUGGACAAGAGGGAAAUCAGCACACAGGGAAGCUGACUUCAAUUUUCUCUUCUACUCUGAUUCAUCAUUGGGCCAAGGGCCCAAGACCAACCAGUUCCCGUGUCUCAUUUCAGAUUUGCAUGAAGAGUCUGAUAAGUUGCUGACCUGACAAUGAAUAGAUCACCCCAUGAUCAG